GUGCUCAGAAACACGUUGACAAACUCAAUGAAAAUGAACCCAUAAGUCAUAUUUGGGCGUUUGCACAUCAACUACAAGUAUAAUAACACUACUUGAAUCAAUUAAUAUGCGUUUAUCAAUUCGGAAUAAGUAUUUCUUCAAAUUCGUGUUGAACAAGCCAAAACACUUAGCAAGUUUGCCUUUUUUUACGUAACGAAAGUUACACGAGUAGUGCCUUCACGCUCAGCGUUUCAGCCUAUAAAGUUGAUAUUUUAACAAAGUAUAUUGUCCCUCGUUGACGUACGCUGCGCCGAAACGAAGCUGACUAGUUAUACAUCGUCUUUAGUUUAAAAAUUAUGAUAUGCGCCGCUUCACUUUGUGUUAUUAUGUUCAACAAUUUUAAACAGGCGAUUAGCAAACGCAGUUCAGCGUCACCGGGCCUAGCUUGGCUAACGUUAGCGGUGGCUAAUGCGAGUUGACAAACCUGUCAACGUUGCUGUUGUUAUGGAGCAGCCACCAGGGAGCUUGGAUGAUCUACAACCUCAGGACCUCUCCACCUCAAACAUCGCCGCUGUGAUCGACUUGACGAGGAAAGGCAACCUGAAUGGCACUGCCUGCGAUGUCCAGGAUGUUGUCACAAUCCCAGAUUGGCACCCAAACUCUGGAACCUACAAUCCUGAAUUACCCUCUUCCUCAGAGACUACCCCGUCUAGUAUUUUACACCAAUCAGGGGAUGACGUUCAACCAGAUAAUGCCUUGUCGCGCACCACAGUGACCCUGUCGUAUGUGAGCAGAUCUCACAUCCACUCCAAUUCACCUUUGUAUGGUGUCCCACCUAUCAGCAAGUUCUCCCUCCUCCCUCCUUGUGAGGCGGAGAAAGGGCUCGGGGAGAAAACCUAUGCACUGAACCAGCUUUACUUGGAACACGUUGACAGGCCAGUGGACCUCGCCACUCAGGCUUUUCAUUCAUCCUCUGAAACUCCACAGGCUGACGCAAUACAUCUCUCACAGCAGCGUUGUGAAUUUAACGAGGAGGAAGUGAGUUUGAGCAAGGCGAGCGGAGAUGAACACUGCGUUCUCUGGAGGACGGAAAACAGCGGUGGGUUGGAGAAUGGCCAAGAUGGCAGCUGGUCGAGUUUAGGCAUGGAUUCUCGGUCAUCGCCAGAGACAAGGGACGAUGAGGAUGAGGAAGAGAAGAAGGGACGCUCCGAGACAGUCUUGCAUAAGUCAAAGAACAGGAAAACAGCGAUGGCUCCAGUAGAGUUGUUUUCACCAACCACAGACUAUAAACGCCUUCUUGAGGACCCCGUGUCCCCUUCAGCUACCUCACCUGGUGAUGUCGAGGACGUGUUUUUGCUUCCUCAGGCCUCCAGUUCACCAAGCGGGGACACCUCCUUUCAAGCUGAGGAUGACUCGAUCGCAGAAGGGCCCACUCAGCUCAGGUCUGAAAUCAACAGCACUACAACAAGCGAUGAAAGUAAGCAGUCUGUCCACAGAAGCAAGGCGGAGCCGAACUCUGUGCUCGACUUCACAGAGGAUGUUUCUUCAUCUGGGAUUUCACAGGACAAAACUGUCACCCCUUACAUGAACGGGAUUGUCAGCGCAUUACAGAAGACUGUAAAUGAAAGGAAGCUGCGUUCAGGGAGAGCCGUGCAUUUAGAAUCUAUUGUUAUGAAUAUCAAUUCAAGCAGGUAUAAAGUAUCAGGACACAUUAACGAUAAAAUGAGAACUAGAGAUUCUAAUGCAACAAGUCCAAAGAGGAAAGACACCCAAUCUGAGAGCAAAAGACAAGGCAAAGCGAAACAAAAAGUAACACCGCAUAAGAGGGGUAAAUCCAAUAGCAUUAACGACCAAGGCAAAGACACUACCUCUGUCAAUAUUUCUAAAAAUUCAUACGGCAAAGCCUCUCCUAAAAGCCCUGGGAUUUCAAAGAACGUUCCAGAGGCUGCUAUAUUCCCUGGAACUUUGUCGCAGAGGAGCCCUGCGAGGUCAAAGAGGAGACCUUCUUCAAGUCCUCAGCCCAAAAACUCAACGAAGCAGCAUCCAGCACACCCAGAUCCUUCUUUGUUAACAAAUCCAGCAAAAUGUUCACCACCAGCACCUAAAGAAUCUCCAAAGAAAAGCCCUCGUUCAGCUCAAGGUCAGAAACUAUUGCCAGUUGGGAAGACAAAGCCAAAUCGCUCUCCCAAGAGGCGAAGAAAAAAGCACAAACCGAGACAGUUCACUUCCAUCUUCUCUCCCAAGGAGCCUGAAAUUAAAUUGAGGUACAUUCACUACAAGGAGCAGAAAAGGGAGUCAAGGUUGGAGAAUUUCUCCCCCUUUAUCCGUGAGCAGCGACAGCAGUCAUCCGUGUCACUUUGCACUGUAGUGAACUACCCAGAAGAGGUCAGGACGCAGCACAAAAAGGGUCAGAGGGAGCUACAGGAUCAUACCAGUGGCUAUAUUUCGGCAACCGUACCCAGCACUUCCUGUCUCCGGCUGGGCCGGCCAUCCGGUCUCGGCCAGCAUCAAGGCUCCCUCGUCUGUUGCCUGUGUGGGCUGUCUUCCAACGCCAUGGACUUGGGGGAUCUCCACGGUCCGUACUACCCUGAAGGGUACCGACCGAGCACCAAAGCGUCUGCCUGCACGUCUAGCGCUAAAUGCCUAAAGGACUACUACAGCGAUUCCGAUUCUUCAUCCUGCAGUGUAAGGGGUAGGGGGAGCAGACGUGCCUUUGCGUCGUCAUUGUGGAACAGCAGACUGGCUGAUCAGUUCAAGCGGACUUCUGAAAACACGGGUAGCCCCGCAGCAAAGCGGGCUCGCUCAGAAAUAUGGCCGACAGAUGUGGAGGACUGGUACAGCCCCCCCGUGCUGCCCCUUGAGCCCUGCGAGUACUGGCUCCACGAAGACUGCGGCAUCUGGUCAGCCGGCGUGUUCUUGGUGAAGGGCAAAGUGUACGGCCUGGAGGAGACCGUCAAGGUGGCCCGUGAAACGAUGUGCUCAACCUGCUCUGGACCUGGUGCAACACUUGGCUGCUUCUUCAAAGGUUGUCCCAGCAAACACCACUACAGGUGUGCUCUGGAGAUUGUGUCCUCAUAGAAGAAAACUUCUCCAUGAAAUGUAAAAAGCACAAGAACAAGACAUUGUCAGCCCCAGCAGGGAAUCAAAGUGAUCCCAGGAGAAAAAAGCCCUCUUGACAUUGGCCUGCCAAAUCCUGCAGUGACUGGCUCGCCUGCUGGACACUGUGGACAAGAACCCUUGCGACUGACAGUUAACACCCAUAAACCUUAACUCCUCCUCCUCUUCCUCUCUCAACAGGCCCUCAGAUUCCCAAUUCUUAGUAAUUAUUUAUUUGAAUUUUUUUGUUUGUUUUUCAUGGUGAAAUGUGAGUAACAAUCAAGAUACUUAAUUUAAAUGAAAAAAUAUUUUGUAUUUCAUCAUAUUUGGCUUUAUUUAUUCCUGAAGUGUCAUUUUGCUUAUUUAGCAGUGUUUUUUUAAUUAUUGAUAAAGCAGUUGUUGUAAAAUAAAGAUGCCAUCGGCAGGUUAAGGGGCGGAGCUAUAUAAAGGUACUAUAGUCAUAAGUAAUCGCAUUGAUAUAAAACACACGGUAUUACAUUCUCAUUUACAUUUUGGGGUGUGAGGGAAGUACGGUGUUUGAAUGUAUUCUCCCCAUAUGUGGGAUUUUUUUUUUUUUCAGGAAGCACUUAGGACCGCUCCUCUGCUCCAGUUGCAGUAUUAGCCUCCUGUUUCUUAGCCACCAGAAUGACAUGAUGAUUAUUAGCACUUUGACUGGGAGCAUUGCACGGGUUCUUGUUUUGCAUCCUCCCGACUUGUCAGUUUCAAUCAAACGGAAUGUUCCCUUACAAUGUCAGUCACUCCAAAUGCAGACAGCAUGCACAGAGGACCUCAAUAACAACCAACAAUUGUUUACAUUAAUUCUAAGAGUUUUCUGCUCUGAUCAAAUAUGGUCCUGGUCUUUUCAGAAGACGCAGUGCACAAGGGCUACUCUCUGUGUACCGCUAGGGGCAGCAUUGUGCUGUUUUUGGAGUCCUGUUGUGUUUGUAUGGCUCGUCUGUUUCUCAAAUGACACAAGUCACUCAUGUCCUGACCCAUAAAAACCAUAGCGACCACAUCUCAUCCUCAUUUGUGCCAUCUUCUGUUUGCCGACAUUGACUGUUUUUUUUUUCUUCUUUUUGUAUUACCAAAUACAGCUUUUACAUGAUGGGUGAUUCUUACAAAGAUCGUAUGUUUUUUGUGUGUUUAUCUCAGGGCUGUAUUUACAGAUUUUUCCCUUUUUUUUUUCCUGCCCCCCACCCCCCGGUUGUUUGACUGGAGGAUAUGCAUAACAAAAGCCUUCAUUCUCCGGUCCAGACAUUCCAACAUAUGCAUUUAGUGUAUUGCAUUUACUGUUAAUAAUUUAAUGCUUUGGGUUGAAAAAAAAUCAAUGGACUGCAACUAGUGCCAUUUUUUUUUUACAUUUUGAACUUUUUUUUUUUUUUACCAUUCUGCCAGUGCUCACGUCUUGCAGCAUCACAAACCAAUUUAAAUGUCCACGAAAUAAAUGUCCGACAUUGAACUCGUGUGUCAUUUAUUCAAAGACAAUGUUUUAAUGCAUGGGAAAGUCAUUUUUAAUUUUAAAGGUCCUGAAAUUAAUUUUAAGUCAUAUUAUAGGUGUGAUGCCUGACAUGUAAAACUAUAGAUAUUUGAAUGUAGUGAAGCCUUAUUCAAAUACCUAAGGUAUAAGGUACUGAUCUCAGCUCGGCUUCUGUGUGAUGACUGGAUGACCUGUCUGGGGCGGAAUCCCUUUUUGAUUGACAGUGGAAUGAGCGAAUCAGAGAUCUUGAAGUAUAACCCUCCACAGGAGCAUUUUCCAAGUUUUCAUUCUGUUGCUAGCAGCCAUUAUUAAGCCAUUAUUUAUUGUAAUUAGUUUUUAGAUCACC